UCUCUCUCUCUCUAAAUCCAAACCUAAACGAGAUCUAGAUUUUUCUCAGCCGUUUUCAAUCUCAGCAAAGAACUCGAUGCCGCCAUUGACGUGCUUCCAAGCUCUGCAUCGAGGUCCAAACGACGUUAUAGUCAAGCCAAUGAGGAAUUCUCGAGAAGAACGUCUCUCCGUUUGAAGCCUUCAACUUUGUUUCUUAAUUUCUCUCUGGAUCUUACCCCUAGCCGCUUAGUCUUCAGGACUCGAUAAAUUCGUAUAUUGCUUGGGUUUUUUCGCUUGUGCAAGGGAAGAUAAACUUGGUAUUGUUCCUAACUUUCAUUACGUUCCUCGGUGAAUGUGUCUUCUUCUUUCUUUCAUAGCCUGAUGAAGUAUUCUUUAAUCUGUGAUGUGAAUGCUCUGGCCUUCUUUGUUUCCUGUAGUUAUCCGUUGUGUGACUCCUGCUAUUUUCUUGUAUGCCUUGUUUGUUUGGAAUGAGAUUGGUAAUGAGUCCAACAAAAGUUAUUGAUGAAAUGACAAUUUUUAAACCGUAUGAAGAUUGUGCGAGGAUGUUAGAGGUCAGAAUAUUCACUUUGUGGUCAUUGUUUUACCCAAGGUUGCCAUUCUGAGUACUAUGAGGUUGAACAUACAAAAAAGUGCUCGCUUUUCAGAUUCUCCAGGAAAUUUGGCUUCGUGGUUGUGUAAUGAUUUCCCUGUGAAGAUUAUCUUUUUAUUCAUCUCUUUAUUCUGACAGGAUCAUCCUAGUUUUGAACAGAUGCCUUUUAGUUAUUUCUGAGAUAAUAUCUACUUCUGAUAUACAUUAUGAAUGAUAUGUGUUAUUGGUCUUGUGAAGGACCUUUAGAAAUCACCCAAACCCCUAUGUUUGAUAGUACUUCAGUAGUUCUUGAAUGUAUAUUAUCUUUGAGUUCAGACCAUUGAUAAUGAGAUAUCAUGCAGUAUAAUAUCGAUAUAUGUUCCAAUUAUUAAAAUAACUCCAUAUGCUUCUUUAUGAGAAAUUCUGAAGAUUGAUGUCUAUGGUCAGGAUAUUGGAUUUAGUGUGGAGUAUACAAAUGCGUGUGGGGAGAAAUCUCUCAUUUUACCUUACAAACGUUACGAGUCUGACCAAGGGAAUUUCUGCACGUGCGAGGCUGGAAACUACAAACUCGUUUGGGACAAUUCAUAUUCAAGUUUCUUUAAGAAGGUAUGCAGACAUGUUUGGUUCUAUGUUCUGUUUAUGUUUCACCUUCCCACUCGUCUUGUCAUAUCAUCACUUUGAAAAAUCACCGGACCAUUUGGGAUUUGACGGUUGAAAUUAUGGUAAUACCGCUAAUAAAAAUGUAAAUCUCUGGAAAUUUACUCUACACACGACUGACUUUUUUUAAUGUCACUUGUGUCAGCUCGCGGCUCAAUUGACCUCUUUUGCUUACACUCUCAACAUUUUUUUUCAGUAAUCUCAUAUAUUAUCAGUAGAUAUACUGGCUUGAAGCCAUUUCAAUUUCCCCAUCUCUACUGGAUGAUAAUCUUCUGAAAAUAAUUGAUUAUUGAUCUGUCAGGUCAUAACUUCUUAAUAAAUAAUUGAUUAUUGAUCUGUCAGGUCAUAAAUAAUCUGCUUUACUGCACCUUGCGGUUUGCUCCACAGGCCUUGCAUAGACUUGGAACCAAACCUUGCAUUCAGUGGU